GAUAAUUAGCCUGUGGCAGCCAAGCGUUCAUAGCGACGUUGCCUUUUGAUCCUUCGAUGUCGACUUUCUCUCCUCCCUGCAGGAG
rnacentral:ncRNA from 1 species